UGCGGAGGGUGCAAGCGUUAUCCGGAUUCACUGGGUUUAAAGGGUGCGUAGGUGGGUCUGUAAGUCCGUGGUGAAAUCUCCGAGCUUAACUUGGAAACUGCCAUGGAUACUAUAGGUCUUGAAUACUGUGGAGGUCAGCGGAAUAUGUCAUGUAGCGGUGAAAUGCUUAGAUAUGACAUAGAACACCAAUUGCGAAGGCAGCUGGCUACACAAAUAUUGACACUGAUGCACGAAAGCGUGGGGAUCAAACAGG
rnacentral:rRNA from 1 species